AAACAGUCUUAAUUGAUAUCAGGUUAGGAGAGUCUGGAAAACAAGCCACAAUUCAGAACUCAAGGAUGGACUGAGAGACCUCCCCAGAAAUCCAACAAGAGGGCCAGAAACGGAACGCGAUUCUGCCAUGGGCGAAAUCCGUCACAUCUUUCCUUGUGACUCGGGCUGAAAGAGUGCUUCGCAGCUGUUGGAACUGCUGGUGGUGACAGAGCCCCAGAACUCCUGAUCCGUGCUCGCUCCUUACAAGAUUUAAAGGGGAGUGGGUUCACAAGGUGGUCGCAUGACACGCUGGAAAGAGGCAGGGCUGACUCCUCGGCGGGCCGUGCUCACUAACCCUUCUGCUCCCUGUGGCAUUGCGAAACCUACAAGGGCUUUUCUUUUCAAGUGUUUUAUUAAAUGAAGAGUCUAACGACCCUCACUUUAAUUACA